GCAUUAGAAUUAUGGUCAAACUUCUUUGAUUCGUGCUCAUAAAAUUCUUUUCUAGUCAUUGCAUUGUCAUAAGGGUCCUCUUCGGCGUAUCGCUCUUGCUUCGGACUGCGAGGAGAUUUCUUCUCUUCUUGUUUCUUUUGAAUAGCUGCCGCAAAACCCGUCGGAAGAACUUUGACUCCGGCCACAAGGUGUGGCGGAACUCGAGCAACAGGCUUAGACCUCUGUUGCUCAAUUUCCUGUCUACUCUCCAGACUUGAUGCGGAGUAUUCUGGGCCUUUAAAAGAUGGCGGUCGGUCACGUGUUGGGGAAUGAAUUGGUGGUUCGUCGAUUGAAGGAGUUCGGGGUAGACCACGUUUCACGCCAGGUGGUUCAUUUCCUAGAUAACGGUCUUCCAUUGGCGACCUUGGUCCUGGAGACAGAGCACGUGACGGUUUGGGGGCAGUGGCUGGGGGAACACGACCGGGUGACAUUACGCGGGGAAUCCUGAAGUCUUCCUGUCUGUUUUCGGGACGGCCUCUUCUUCCACCAGAGUCAUAGCCCUCUCUUGGGUAGCGACCAUCGCCCCUUGGGUAAUCUCCCGAGCCCUGUCGUUCAUGAUGGUAUUCGGCCGAAGGUUGGCGUUCGUGCCUGAAUUCGCCCGAUUGUUUCCGUUCAUGAGCGAGUUCGUUUGACCGUUGACGUUCAUGUCUGUAUUCCAUUGAUGGUUGUCGUUCGUAACGAUAGUCGGAUGGAGGUCGAUCACGACGCAUUUCGUUGGAGUGGUGUCUUUCGUGAUGAAAUUCGUUAGAUGGCGGUCUUUGAUAAUCACCCGAAUGUUCUCGUUCGUGUCUGUGACGAAUGUUUUCAUCAUACCCCGGUGCGGGAAAUCUAUUAUCAAACCUUCCUGACGCAGACAUGUAUCCCUGAGGGUCCCUUGGUCCCCCUGGGGGACCGUAUGGAUCUCUCAUAUAUCUGUCAUGUCCUUGACCUUCAAAUUCCGGUCGGUAAUCCUCCCACUCUCCGGUCCGAGAACCACGCAGAUAUUCAUCGGUCAGUUGCAUCGGCCUUUGACCCUCAGUUGUUUGCAAAAUAUCAGGUCGGCGUACUUGGGGUGGCUCUCUAUCGUAAUUGGGAUCAGAGGGUUGCCUCAUGUACUCGGGCCUUCCUGGCUCCAUCAUGCGAGUUUGUAACAUGUAUAUCAGCUGUGUUAUACGUAAUGCCUGGUCUUCGUUAUCACACACGAAUCCGUGACAUUCUAACGCCCGCACACCAGAAUUCCUUCUCAUAACAAGCGCUAACAGUGGAGGGUGGUCCACCUUCGCCAGAUUGCUGUGUUUUUUGUCUAAUGGCGUAAACAGUUUUUCCGACCCUGUAUUAGGCGCCCGGUUGAUAUCUAUGGGAACAAACCCGCCCUGAAUUUUCUUAUCGUGGCCUUUCACUGUCGUAAAUCGUACGGCCUCAAAAAAGGAAAUGGACUGCAUGUCGUAAAAAAGUUCACUUCCGGGACUUACCCCAGCAACAAUAACGGCUAUGCCAUUGGGAGUUAUCUGAAGCGCCACUUCCGUUAGGUCUUUGGAUUUGUGUUUCUUUCCGGAAUGUUUUCUGUAUUCAAAAUAACUGUCACGUAAAGGUUUCUGAAUGGUACCGAGUCCGGAAGAGGUCGCUUUGGCGAGAGUGGUACUCCCCAAAUAUUGCAGCACGAAUUCUCCAUGGGGAUCCAUAAUGAAAUGUGACGUGUAAUCCCAGAAACGAGGCAAAGAUUCAAGCGUCACAUCAGAUUCUGAAAAAAGAAAAUACAAAAAGUGUUUUAAUUACCCAAUAAGAUACUUAAAACUUCCAGUAUCCCGAGAUAACAUUUCUUACAAGGAAUAAUUUACCAUACAAUAGAAACAAUGAAUGUUAACCUCUACAAGGAUGUAUUCAAAUUUAUCGUUAUACGAGUUUUUGUGUAAAUGAUAUACAUUAUUAAAAUUCCUUUAUAGGUGUAGGCUGUAUUGUCAUGGUUAUGAACAAGCUCCCAUUUUUCUUGUCAUUCAACUCAUUAGUCCAAGCCUAUGAUUCAUGACAUAAUUAGUCCUACAACAACUUGUGAUAUAAAUCGUAUAAAAAUCUGCCUGCAUUAUUGCGAAUAUCAUCAUUUCUUGGAACAUUCUCCAU
rnacentral:sRNA from 1 species